UUGACCUCGGAUCAGGUAGGAAUACCCGCUGAACUUAAGCAUAUCAAUAAGCGGAGGAAAAGAAACCAACAGGGAUUGCCUCAGUAACGGCGAGUGAAGCGGCAACAGCUCAAAUUUGAAAUCUGGCCUCACGGUCCGAGUUGUAAUUUGUAGAGGAUGUUUUGGGCACCGCCCCGGGUUAAAUUUCUUGGAACAGAAUGUCAAAGAGGGUGAGAGUCCCGUCUUGGCCCGCGGUAGGACCUGUGUAAAACUCCUUCGACGAGUCGACUUGUUUGGGAAUGCAGGUCAAAAUGGGUGGUAAAUUUCAUCUAAAGCUAAAUAUUGGCCAGAGACCGAUAGCGCACAAGUAGAGUGAUCGAAAGAUGAAAAGCACUUUGAAAAGAGAGUUAAACAGUAUGUGAAAUUGUUGAAAGGGAAGCGCUGGCAACCAGACUCGAGCGCGGUGUUCCCCCUUGCUUCUGCCUGGGUUAUUUCACCGUGACCGGGCCAUCAUCAGUUUUGGGGGUUGGUUAAAGAUUCGGGGAAUGUAUCCUCUCCUUCGGGGGAGGACUUAUAGCCCCGGAUGUCAUGCAGCCUCCCGGGACUGAGGAACGCGCUUCGGCGAGGAUGAUGGCGUAAUGGUUGUCAACGACCCGUCUUGAAACACGGACCAAGGAGUCUAACAUCUAUGCGAGUGUUCGGGUGUCAAACCCUUGCGCGGAAUGAAAGUGAACGGAGGUAGGAAGGCUUGAACCUGCACUAUCGACCGAUCCUGAUGUCUUCGGAUGGAUUUGAGUAAGAGCAUAGCUGUUGGGACCCGAAAGAUGGUGA
rnacentral:rRNA from 1 species